AAAGUCGUAACAAGGUUUCCGUAGGUGAACCUGCGGAAGGAUCAUUACAAGUCUUAGUGUAGGGAGGGUGUGUGAGUGCGUGGUGUGGAUGUGGAUGCGUGCGUUGUGGGGGGUGGGAUUCUCCUAAUCCGGGUGGGAUUCUCUAACCCGAGCUUUAAAAGUUUAAGGCCAAAGCUUGAAUAAAGCAGUGCCUAAAGCUAAAAGCUGGUGGAUCUCCCUCCCCUCAUCCCCUAAGCUCUCCACCACCUCUUCCCCCUCCCGAUACAUACACGCGUGUUGUGUUUGACAGAGUUAUAUAUAUCAUACAUGAAUCUAAAACUUUUAACAAUGGAUCUCUUGGCUCUC
rnacentral:misc_RNA from 1 species